UUGUUGCUGCCCAUAUAAUUUUUUUUAAAGAAUAUUCUGCUUCUUUUCAUGCCCAAGAAUUUGACCACGACUUGCCCAUUGUUUGACCCACAUGCAUGAUUCUUAUCUACUGAGUUAAUUAUGAUUUUGCUUGAUAGAUUUCAUCUCCACUGUUUUAUUUCUUUUAGUUUAAAUGAUUAUGAAUGGAGUUAACCCUAUCUUGAUUUUGGUAAAUUUGAUUAAGUCUAAAUUCAAGAGGACACUUAAUACAAUUGCAUGCUUAAAAUAUGUUCAUGACUAUUAAGGUGGUUACUGAAACUUAUUUUUGACACUUGAUUGUUUUUCCUAAGUCCUCCAAAAUUAAAAUUUCGUUUAAUAAU
rnacentral:lncRNA from 1 species